AGAGUUUGAUCCUGGCUCAGGACGAACGCUGGCGGCGUGCCUAAUACAUGCAAGUAGAACGCUGAAGAGAGGAGCUUGCUCUUCUUGGAUGAGUUGCGAACGGGUGAGUAACGCGUAGGUAACCUGCCUUGUAGCGGGGGAUAACUAUUGGAAACGAUAGCUAAUACCGCAUAACAAUGGAUGACCCAUGUCAUUUAUUUGAAAGGGGCAAAUGCUCCACUACAAGAUGGACCUGCGUUGUAUUAGCUAGUAGGUGAGGUAACGGCUCACCUAGGCGACGAUACAUAGCCGACCUGAGAGGGUGAUCGGCCACACUGGGACUGAGACACGGCCCGGACUCCUACGGGAGGCAGCAGUAGGGAAUCUUCGGCAAUGGGGGCAACCCUGACCGAGCAACGCCGCGUGAGUGAAGAAGGUUUUCGGAUCGUAAAGCUCUGUUGUAAGUCAAGAACGAGUGUGAGAGUGGAAAGUUCACACUGUGACGGUAGCUUACCAGAAAGGGACGGCUAACUACGUGCCAGCAGCCGCGGUAAUACGUAGGUCCCGAGCGUUGUCCGGAUUUAUUGGGCGUAAAGCGAGCGCAGGCGGUUUGAUAAGUCUGAAGUUAAAGGCUGUGGCUCAACCAUAGUUCGCUUUGGAAACUGUCAAACUUGAGUGCAGAAGGGGAGAGUGGAAUUCCAUGUGUAGCGGUGAAAUGCGUAGAUAUAUGGAGGAACACCGGUGGCGAAAGCGGCUCUCUGGUCUGUAACUGACGCUGAGGCUCGAAAGCGUGGGGAGCGAACAGGAUUAGAUACCCUGGUAGUCCACGCCGUAAACGAUGAGUGCUAGGUGUUGGAUCCUUUCCGGGAUUCAGUGCCGCAGCUAACGCAUUAAGCACUCCGCCUGGGGAGUACGACCGCAAGGUUGAAACUCAAAGGAAUUGACGGGGGCCCGCACAAGCGGUGGAGCAUGUGGUUUAAUUCGAAGCAACGCGAAGAACCUUACCAGGCCUUGACAUCCCGAUGCUAUUUCUAGAGAUAGAAAGUUACUUCGGUACAUCGGUGACAGGUGGUGCAUAGUUGUCGUCAGCUCGUGUCGUGAGAUGUUGGGUUAAGUCCCGCAACGAGCGCAACCCCUAUUGUUAGUUGCCAUCAUUCAGUUGGGCACUCUAGCGAGACUGCCGGUAAUAAACCGGAGGAAGGUGGGGAUGACGUCAAAUCAUCAUGCCCCUUAUGACCUGGGCUACACACGUGCUACAAUGGUUGGUACAACGAGUUGCGAGUCGGUGACGGCAAGCUAAUCUCUUAAAGCCAAUCUCAGUUCGGAUUGUAGGCUGCAACUCGCCUACAUGAAGUCGGAAUCGCUAGUAAUCGCGGAUCAGCACGCCGCGGUGAAUACGUUCCCGGGCCUUGUACACACCGCCCGUCACACCACGAGAGUUUGUAACACCCGAAGUCGGUGAGGUAACCUUUUGGAGCCAGCCGCCUAAGGUGGGAUAGAUGAUUGGGGUGAAGUCGUAACAAGGUA
rnacentral:rRNA from 1 species